UGUAUAUUCUUUCAGGCAGUAUAUGAAAGACAAGCUUUGUUUAUGUCUGCCCAGUCAGUAGAGCUCACAUCAUGCUUUAAGGUGCUUCAGUAAUUAGAAAAAUUGCUGACAGACAAAACUGGAAAAUAGAUGACAUGGGCUCAUUGUUGUUACUACAUUUAAAGCUUUUACCUUCAGCCUAAUAAGUGCCAGUUCCACUCAGGCUUAACUGUCUUGCUUACCUGCACAGCAGAGCCAGUUCUUUGUGUUAGGAAAAGAUGGGGCUUGUUACUGCUGAAAAGAAGAUUCAAGCUAACUUUUCUUUGUUUUAUGAAGAUUUGGUAAUUAGGUACUUUCUUCUGUAGAAAGAUGAGCUUCAUGAUGGCUCUCAGUCUUGGGAAAUUGGAUUACUGGUAGUUAGAAGAAUGUUGUCAUCAUAAAAGUUGCUGCUGCUUUUCCCAGUUGUUGCAAUCCCUGGUGACUGGAGCAGAUAUCCUCUAUCCUGCUUUUAGUCGCUUGGUUUUCCCAGACUUGGCUAAUACUCAUUCAUGGAUGCUGUGUGUAGUGACAUUGUCUCUUGGAAUAGUAUCUGCAUUAUUGCAAGUGUUGUCUUGCCUGUUUAUCCCACAUUGCCUUAAGCUUUAUUUACAUGAGAGUUUUGAAUUACUGGCUGUGACUGGAACUCUGCCUGAAAACACUUCACCUAUAAUGCAGCAGAAGCGGUUGGUUUGUGGCUUCUCUUUGAUAUAAUGUUUUCAUUAAGUAAAAACACAGAGAAGGGUAUUUUCAGAAGAUGUUAGUGUGCUUGUUUUGGACUGAGCCCUUUUCCCCAGUGAAUCAAUCAUUGCACAACUUGGCAUGACUGGCAUUCCCUGAUUGAGAGGCAGAAGCUCCAGCUUGCAGAUCAAAGUGGAGCAACCCAUUGGAAUUCGGGUGUCCCAGCAAAACCAGGCAGUGGAAGCUUGUGGGUGGCCUCUGUGCCAGGUUCAGGUGUCCUUCACCCGUGAUCCUUGAGGACAGGAGAGCUCUCUAUUCCAAGGAGGCUUUAAAGCUAAACACAGACCAAAAAAAGGAAGGACAGAGCGGUCACGUAGCUCCUACACUCAGGGAGGAUAGCUGAGAGAGACAACCUCUCAUCAGCUUCUGAAAAUCAGUGAUUAUAAAGCAUAACGCCUACGCUGUAAAAGGAGCUUCUGAUAAACCACAGCAGCUUCUUGUUGGCCACUGUCUAUCUGAGCAAGAGCUGAAUGGCUUAUUGAUCAUAUUUCUUCCCCAUAUGCUUGCACAUUUUUGCAGAGGUGAGGUAAUUUUGGCUAGGUCCUUGUUUUGUGGAUUUGGCCAUUUAGAUUUGGCUGUGGGGUGUCUUAAGGGCUUAAGUGUAAUAUCAGUGCAGGGGAA